rnacentral:rRNA from 1 species
UACAGAGGGUGCGAGCGUUGUUCGGAAUUAUUGGGCGUAAAGGGCUCGUAGGCGGUUUGUCGCGUCGGGAGUGAAAUCCACUGGCUUAACUGGUGGCUUGCUUUCGAUACGGGCAGACUGGAGGUAUGCAGGGGAGAACGGAAUUCCUGGUGUAGCGGUGAAAUGCGCAGAUAUCAGGAGGAACACCGGUGGCGAAGGCGGUUCUCUGGGACGGUACUGACGCUGAGACGCGAAAGCGUGGGGAGCGAACAGG